rfam:Trichobilharzia regenti genome assembly, scaffold: TRE_scaffold0069521
AUCCAGAUGAUGAGUCCCAAAUAGGGCGAAAUGCACAUCCUGGAU